AGCUCCUGGCCCCCGACCCGAGCCCCAGAGCAGCAGAGAGCUGGUAAUUCCUCCUUUUGAUGCAUUGCAGAAUGUAGUGGGAGAAAGUGAAGGGCUAAAAUACCACAAUGCAGGAGAUUCACCAGCAGGCAGAUCACAUUUAAUGUCCUCCAGACCUGGCUCAGUGCUAAGAUGUGCUCUUUCCAGUUGUCAGGCUAAAGUCAAGCCUAGUCAAUACAUAGAUUGGAGACCUUGUUGGAUGGGAAGCCUGCUUAUGGUUGAAAGAAGCAAGAAAGGUAAUUCAGAUUGGGGCAGAUAUGGUCAGAAUGUUGAACAAGGUAGAUUAUUUUUGCAGUGAUGUGUUGGAUGCAUUCAGGGUAGGUAAAAUGCAGGGAAGCCCAAGGA